CAGAUAGUUCCUGCCCAGUGAUAUUAUUCAACGGCCGCGGUAUCCUAACCGUGCAAAGGUAGCAUAAUCACUUGCCUAUUAAUUGUAGGCUAGAAUGAAUGGAUUAACGAAAUAAAAGCUGUCUCUAUUAGUAUACUAAAAAUUAUUUUUCAGUUGAAGAAACAUGAAUAAACUCGAAGGACAAGAAGACCCUAUAGAGCUUUAUUUAAAUUACGGACCUGCCGUAAUAAGAUUCGGUUGGGGCGACCCAGGACACAAAAAUCAUCCUACCUAUAAAAGAUCUAUAAAUCAAAUAAAUGACCCACUAAUGAUCACAAAAACAAGCUACCUUAGGGAUAACAGGCUAAUCCCAUUCAAGAGUCCUUAUCAAAAAUGGGGCUUGGCACCUCGAUGUUGGCUUAGGGAAUCACUAUAGCGCAAAAGUUAUAUAAAGAUGGUUUGUUCAACCGGUAAUACCCUACGU
rnacentral:rRNA from 1 species